CAGACACACACACACACACACACACACACACAGAGUCAGGGGAAUACUAUUCACCCUUGAAAUGAAAAUGAAAUAAUCUUCUUGCCAUUCACACGGAUGGGGUGGUGGUGGCAGGGGUGGUACAGAGAGUAUAAUGCUAGGUGAGUGAAUCAGUCAAAGAAAGACAAUACCAUAUGAUUUCACUCCUAUGCAGAUUUCAAGAAAAGAAUACAAAUGAGCGUGCGGACACACACACACACACACACACACACACACACACACACAAAGAGAGAGAGAGAGAGAGAUCAAGAAAUAGAGUCUUAGAGAAAACUGAUGGUUACCAGUGGGGAGGGAGUGUUGCCUGAAAGGGGUGAUGGGGAUUAGGGAGUGCACUUGUCCUGCUGAGCAGCAGGUGACCUAAGUAGCUGAUGAAUCCCUAUACUGGACACCUGAAACCAAUAUAACACCGCAUGUUCAGUUACCGCAAUUACACUAAACCCCUGAAGAAAAAGAAAAAGCAAAGCCUGCAUACUCUUGCAGGUUUACCACAAAGUGGUCAAGUUGGCCAGGAGCCCAGCCUAGGGAGGGGGAGCGGGGGAAGAGGCAGAGGCUGGAGGAGGCUGCAGGAGGAGGAUGGAUGAUUUGUGUGGUGGUCCUUGCUGUUCCCCUCUCUGUGCCGGGCAGCAAAGGUGAAUUUUUCGGUAUGAACUGGAUAUAUUACAACUGAGGAAAAUCAUAUGAUGUGUAGAUCUGCUCACCAACCAUCUUCAUCCUUCAACAAGAAAAGGCUGAAUGAUGACUACCCAAAGGUCAAGUGUGAUGGUGUCAUGGCUGACUUUGGUAGCUUAGAGGAGAUGAUGUAUCAUUUUGGGACCUCUGCCAAAAUUAAAAUUGUAAUGGGUUCAUUUUAAUAUAUCAUUACAUGCACAUAGCUUUAUAAAAAAUUAUUUAUGUCACUUAAUAGUCAUAAUCUAUAAAUCAACUGUGACAGGUAUUCAUUAUCCUCAUUUAUAGAAGUAAAAAUUGGACUCAAAAGUUCAAUGACUUGC